AUUGAACGCUGGCGGCAGGCUUAACACAUGCAAGUCGAGCGGGGGAAGGUAGCUUGCUACUGGACCUAGCGGCGGACGGGUGAGUAAUGCUUAGGAAUCUGCCUAUUAGUGGGGGACAACAUCUCGAAAGGGAUGCUAAUACCGCAUACGUCCUACGGGAGAAAGCAGGGGAUCUUCGGACCUUGCGCUAAUAGAUGAGCCUAAGUCGGAUUAGCUAGUUGGUGGGGUAAAGGCCUACCAAGGCGACGAUCUGUAGCGGGUCUGAGAGGAUGAUCCGCCACACUGGGACUGAGACACGGCCCAGACUCCUACGGGAGGCAGCAGUGGGGAAUAUUGGACAAUGGGGGGAACCCUGAUCCAGCCAUGCCGCGUGUGUGAAGAAGGCCUUAUGGUUGUAAAGCACUUUAAGCGAGGAGGAGGCUACUUUAGUUAAUACCUAGAGAUAGUGGACGUUACUCGCAGAAUAAGCACCGGCUAACUCUGUGCCAGCAGCCGCGGUAAUACAGAGGGUGCGAGCGUUAAUCGGAUUUACUGGGCGUAAAGCGUGCGUAGGCGGCUUAUUAAGUCGGAUGUGAAAUCCCCGAGCUUAACUUGGGAAUUGCAUUCGAUACUGGUGAGCUAGAGUAUGGGAGAGGAUGGUAGAAUUCCAGGUGUAGCGGUGAAAUGCGUAGAGAUCUGGAGGAAUACCGAUGGCGAAGGCAGCCAUCUGGCCUAAUACUGACGCUGAGGUACGAAAGCAUGGGGAGCAAACAGGAUUAGAUACCCUGGUAGUCCAUGCCGUAAACGAUGUCUACUAGCCGUUGGGGCCUUUGAGGCUUUAGUGGCGCAGCUAACGCGAUAAGUAGACCGCCUGGGGGAGUACGGUCGCAAGACUAAAACUCAAAUGAAUUGACGGGGGGCCCGCACAAGCGGUGGAGCAUGUGGUUUAAUUCGAUGCAACGCGAAGAACCUUACCUGGCCUUGACAUACUAGAAACUUUCCAGAGAUGGAUUGGUGCCUUCGGGAAUCUAGAUACAGGUGCUGCAUGGCUGUCGUCAGCUCGUGUCGUGAGAUGUUGGGUUAAGUCCCGCAACGAGCGCAACCCUUUUCCUUACUUGCCAGCAUUUCGGAUGGGAACUUUAAGGAUACUGCCAGUGACAAACUGGAGG
rnacentral:rRNA from 2 species